rnacentral:rRNA from 1 species
CCUACGGGAGGCAGCAGUGAGGAAUAUUGGUCAAUGGGCGGAAGCCUGAACCAGCCAAGUAGCGUGCGGGAUGAAGGCCCUACGGGUCGUAAACCGCUUUUGCACGGGGAUAACACCCUCCACGUGUGGCGGUCUGCGGGUACCGUGCGAAUAAGGGCCGGCUAAUUCCGUGCCAGCAGCCGCGGUAAUACGGAGGGCGCGAGCGUUAUCCGGAUUCAUUGGGCUUAAAGGGAGCGUAGGCGGGCGUUCAAGUCAGCUGUAAAAUCGCGGGGCUCAACCGCGCCCCGCAGUUGAAACUGGACGCCUUGAGUUGACGACAGGCAGGCGGAAUGCGUGGUGUAGCGGUGAAAUGCAUAGAUAUCACGAGGAACCCCGAUUGCGAAGGCAGCCUGCCGGGGUGCGACUGACGCUGAGGCUCGAAGGUGCGGGUAUCAAACAGGAUUAGAUACCCCGGUAGUC